UACGUAGGGGGCAAGCGUUGUCCGGAAUCAUUGGGCGUAAAGCGCGCGCAGGCGGUCCUUUAAGUCUGAUGUGAAAGCCCACGGCUCAACCGUGGAGUUGCAUUGGAAACUGGAGGACUUGAGUGCAGGAGAGGAGAGUGGAAUUCCUGGUGUAGCGGUGAAAUGCGUAGAGAUCAGGAGGAACACCGAUGGCGAAGGCAGCUCUCUGGCCUGUAACUGACGCUGAGGCGCGAAAGCGUGGGGAGCAAACAGG
rnacentral:rRNA from 1 species